GAUUUCUGGCUUGAAACAUUUUGCCGGCCACGGUUUCGUGUGUUAGUGCUUGAUGUUCUGGCCAUCCUUCCAAUUGCUAUUGGCCUUUCUUCACUGAUUGGUCAGUAGUAUUGGAUCUUUUACUUUGAAAAAAUUAGAGUGUUUCAAGCAGGCUUUAUGCUAUGAAUACAUUAGCAUGGAAUAAUAAUUUAGGACUUCGGUUCUAUUUUGUUGGUUUCUAGGACUGAAGUAAUGAUUGAUAGGGAUAGUUGGGGGUGCUAGUAUUCAGCGGCCAGAGGUGAAAUUCUCGGAUUCGCUGAAGACUAACUUAUGCGAAAGCAUU
rnacentral:rRNA from 1 species